UCGGCUGUGGAGCGGACCUUGGAGCAAGCUGACAGAUAAAUGAAAUAUAUUCUGCAAACAUCCAUUAUCAUCAGAAGACACCCCAUGUGGAAGAAGCAAAUUAUUUUUGUGCUAAAAUGGAUAUUAUCAACUGCAAAGAAAAAGCUUUUGUCUGCCUUACUCUGGAAGCCUUAGAAGUGGAUGAUCAGUGCUUGAUGUGUGCUGCAGAAGAAGGAGCUGUCCCCAAGGCUUCCUGCUAAUUCAAAUAACAAAGCAAGCGAAGAAAGACAGAAAGGGGAGAGAGAGAGCGUACUACAUUUAACGGAGUUUCACUCUUGUCGCCCAGGCUGAGUGCAAUGGCGCGAUCUUGGCUCACCGCAACCUCCA
rnacentral:lncRNA from 1 species